rnacentral:misc_RNA from 1 species
UCAUCCUUCAAGUACUUAAGCUUGUGUUGAGCCUAUUUUGUUCUUUUUUAAUGAACAGGCUUGAAAUACAGUGGUGAUGCCGAGUUUGGUGCCCAAGCAUUAUAGGGCUUUGUCACAUGCUUUGGUGGCCCAGACUGGUAAUAUUCUGCCUAGCUAUAUAUUUAAUGAU